AAGACCAAGCAAAAGCUAAGGAAAACUCAUAUUACUUCACCGUCACCGUUGACCACCGUAUAAUCAAUCUAUACACAACCAAGCACGUCCUCUCUGCCGUGAAGAAGACAUUCAAACUAAAACCAGAUUCGGCCAAGGGUUAUAGCCGGUGCUGAUCUUUAGUCUUCAAUAAGUGUGAAAUGCUUCCAAUGAGUAUAGUAGGAGCUUGACAUCGAAAUACUAGGCAGCUUUGAGGAUGCUUCUGAGAUAAUAUUCUCGCAAUACUUUUCUCUUUCUUUUUUUUCUUCUUUUCUUACUGUUCCCUGAAGAAGUAAUGCCUCUUCUGGACAACUCGAUUUUGUCAUGGGAUCACGCUGAUGCAAUUUUCUCAUUGUAGAAUGAUGGGAACCACACGAAAGAGACUAUCCAGAUUGAAGCUUUAGUCAGGACAAAGAAUACUUUGAUGCUGAUGGGAACUUUGUUGAAUAUGUUAGAAACAAGGAAGUCAAGGUUCAAAGAUGAAUGUCCUGACAGUAUAGACAUAAAUCCAAUGCUGCAAAUGAUACUGAGAAACAAUGAAGAUAGUGGGACUGUAAAGCCAACGGAUUAACUUUCUCAAGAAGAUAUUUGAGUCAUAAAGAUGCGUAUUUCUAAACUCUUCGAACCUGUAUAAAAGGCGAGCCAUUUAGGGUCGUAACAAGUAUUUUUUUUAGGACAUAAAACACUGAAUAGUUGGAAAUAUUAGUUUCAGAUUAGCAUUGUUGAUUAUGCAUACAUCACACACUUAAGCUAACUCUGGUUCAUUAUUACACGUCCUUCUAUCUCUAAGGGAAAGGGAACUGGAGUAGGAUAAGAUGACAUCUGAAAAAAAGCUUAUCAUUAAUUUUGCUAAAUCCAGAAUGGUGAUUUCUGUUUAGUCUCAUUUUAAUUUUGAUAUAUCAAAAGCUUCGCUAAAAUGAAAAUGGUGCCCUGUUAACAUUAGUUUUUCUUUUUCAAGAUAUUUAUAAGGAGGAUCAAGAAGUUCUCGAGCGUGAAGCUGGUUACCUAUUAAUGCUUUAUAAAUCUCAUGAGGUUUCUCUACUCACAAAACUAGGAAACAAUGAUUUUUUCUUUAACUUUUUCUUCUCUACUGUGGUCUUCAUAGUUGAAUAUGCAGAGACGGCGAUGACGAAAUACUACUGGAGCGGAAGCCUUGCAAUCUGAUUAUGUAUUUGACAAAACUUCAGGGCACGUUUUUAUAUUCCUUUAUCUCUAGCUUUAUCGCACUGGACUACAAUAAACAAGGUCAACUUUUUUUCACUUGGAGUUUAUAAUGGCUGAUUACCACCGCCUGGUCUCUUCUAUCUGAACUUUAUUGUUCAAAAGGAAACUCUUCGACAGAGCCUUACAUUUCCUCCUACACUAUAUGUUGCUUGCACACUCUUCUGCGACAAACUUAUACAAGAAACAAUCCCAGGUUCUUCUCUCUAUCUUCCAUAUGCCCUACUGUGUUUAGCUAAGACAGUAUCUCCAUUUAAUUACACAAAAAAAUCAACAGGGAUCGGUAGGCAUUAGCAUAUACAUAUACGGUGCUUUGCUUUGAAUUAUGUCCCCCUAACUAACUCCAGAAGAUAAGCAGGCAACAGCUAGAUUCAAUGACGUCUUCAUUGGAUGAUAAGCCUAAUGAAUCAAAUGUUGAAGCAUCUACUAUAUUUUAUCACUCAGUUUAUUUUUUUGGUUUUUUGUAAGGGAUUUGCAGGUUUAGCGAGCAUCCUGAGCCGAUAAAGACCAUAGUUGGUCUAGAUUACCUGCUUUUACAGAGGAUGAGUCAGACCAAGAUAAAUUACAUGACACUUUACGUCAAGGAUAGUCUUCUCUCUAAAACAAAAUCUCCAUGGUUUCAACAUAUACAUGGUUGUGGAACCAACCCGCAAGUUAUAUGAUACUGUGGAAGUCUGGAAGAUUAAAGCUAAAGAUGUGGCUCACUGAUUGCUUCAUAUUGCCGUCAGUGUUUGGAAACACAUCUUCAGGAAUGAGAUUCGUAAGAUAUUACAUGCAUGAUCAAUUAAAAGAGAAAGAGAGAUAGAGACUAAUGUUUGGUGAUUUUGCUUAUUUCAGUAUGCAAAUACACCAUGGAGUUAGUACUGUUGUAUACCAAAAAACACUACGGCAUAUUAAGUAUCUGAAGAUACGACCAGAACUAA